UUGUAAAGUACUUUCAGCGGGGAGGAAGGGAGUAAAGUUAAUACCUUUGCUCAUUGACGUUACCCGCAGAAGAAGCACCGGCUAACUCCGUGCCAGCAGCCGCGGUAAUACGGAGGGUGCAAGCGUUAAUCGGAAUUACUGGGCGUAAAGCGCACGCAGGCGGUUUGUUAAGUCAGAUGUGAAAUCCCCGGGCUCAACCUGGGAACUGCAUCUGAUACUGGCAAGCUUGAGUCUCGUAGAGGGGGGUAGAAUUCCAGGUGUAGCGGUGAAAUGCGUAGAGAUCUGGAGGAAUACCGGUGGCGAAGGCGGCCCCCUGGACGAAGACUGACGCUCAGGUGCGAAAGCGUGGGGAGCAAACAGGAUU
rnacentral:rRNA from 1 species